CCUGGCGGCCAUAGCGCCGUGGAACCACCUGAACCCAUGCCGAACUCAGAAGUGAAACGCGGUAGCGCCGAUGGUAGUG
rnacentral:rRNA from 1 species